rnacentral:rRNA from 1 species
UACGAGGGGGGCGAGCGUUGUUCGGAAUUAUUGGGCGUAAAGGGUGCGUAGGCGGUUUGGUAAGUCUCUUGUGAAAUCUAUGGGCUCAACUCAUAGUCUGCAAGGGAAACUGCCGGGCUUGAGUGUGGGAGAGGUGAGUGGAAUUUCCGGUGUAGCGGUGAAAUGCGUAGAUAUCGGAAGGAACACCUGUGGCGAAAGCGGCAUCCUGGACCGGUAUUGACGCUGAGGCGCGAAAGCUAGGGGAGCAAACGGG